AACGAACGCUGGCGGCAGGCCUAACACAUGCAAGUCGAGCGCCCCGCAAGGGGAGCGGCGGACGGGUGAGUAACGCGUGGGAACGUGCCUCUUGCUACGGAAUAGCCUCGGGAAACUGGAAGUAAUACCGUAUGUGCCCUACGGGGGAAAGAUUUAUCGGCAAGAGAUCGGCCUGCGUUGGAUUAGGUAGUUGGUGGGGUAAUGGCCUACCAAGCCGACGAUCCAUAGCUGGUUUGAGAGGAUGAUCAGCCACACUGGGACUGAGACACGGCCCAGACUCCUACGGGAGGCAGCAGUGGGGAAUCUUAGACAAUGGGCGCAAGCCUGAUCUAGCCAUGCCGCGUGAGCGAUGAAGGCCUUAGGGUUGUAAAGCUCUUUCAGUGGGGAAGAUAAUGACUGUACCCACAGAAGAAGCCCCGGCUAACUCCGUG
rnacentral:rRNA from 1 species